rnacentral:rRNA from 1 species
AUACGUAGGUGGCAAGCGUUAUCCGGAAUUAUUGGGCGUAAAGAGGGAGCAGGCGGCAGCAAGGGUCUGUGGUGAAAGCCUGAAGCUUAACUUCAGUAAGCCAUAGAAACCAGGCAGCUAGAGUGCAGGAGAGGAUCGUGGAAUUCCAUGUGUAGCGGUGAAAUGCGUAGAUAUAUGGAGGAACACCAGUGGCGAAGGCGACGAUCGGGCCGGCAACUGACGCUCAGUCCCGAAAGCGUGGGGAGCAAAUAGGAUUAGAUACCCUAGUAGUCCACGCCGUAAACGAUGAGUACUAAGUGUUGGAUGUCAAAGUUCAGUGCUGCAGUUAACGCAAUAAGUACUCCGCCUGAGUAGUACGUUCGCAAGAAUGAAACUCAAAGGAAUUGACGGGG